GUACCGGUUUAGAAAAUAUCUUCUCCAAAUAUCUUUCUAAAAUAUCUAAAUCAUCCAUCCUUAUCUCUCCCUCUCUCAUUCUGACAAUUCACUCUCCCUCACGUUCACUCUCUCACUCUUUUCGUCUUCUUUUUUGUUUCUCAACUUGCUGCAGCUCAUCUCACCAUUUCUUUUUCAUUCAUGUAUAUCCACCGCCCUUGUUUCUCACCACCGCCAACUUCUUCUUCUUUUCUCCUUCCUCACUAUCUCGACCCUUUCUCUCAUUAACGUGACAUUACUUUAGCCAACCAAUUGCUAAUCUUCUAAAUAUCUAACACUUUCUCAACCUUUUACUUUAAUACCCAUAAGAAUUAGGAAUCUAAACAUUUUUCCAUGUUUUCUCUCCACAGCGUGAACAACAAAGCUUAAACAUGGAUUUUAUUUAAAUCCUCUUCUCCUUCCCUUAGGCUGUAAGCACCACUCAUUUCCCUCUCUUGCAGCAAACGCACGCACACUUCUCCUCACCCACUCUUUCACAUUUUUCUUUGGCUGCAGCACCAUAACUUCUUCUUUCAUCGUUGGCCAGUCACCACCUUGUGCCUCUAUUCUUCACGCGGCACCCACACUCACCACCACCAUCUCUAAGGUGUUUUUAUGGGUACGAAGAACGAAAGCGCCUUGCCACGAAGCCAAAGAAUAAAAGGAAGCGAGCCGACACGGGAAAGCGAGGAUGUGAUUGGAUUGGAGUUGCAGUUUAGGCAGGAAAUUGGCUAAGGCGAUGGAGAAUCUUUGAUGGAGCUUAACCUUUGUGCGAGUGGAGAUGAGAACUUGAAGAACUGUGGAUGACUCGAAGAAUAGAGUCGGGUGUAGGGCUAGAGCCUUGGGUUAGAGAGCUUACCGUUAUUGGUUUAAGCUUGCAUAAUGAUUUUAGAAAUUUAUAUUUGGGGUUUCGGGUACUCGCCUUGUUCAAGGUUUGAUGUAAAUUUAUUUACAGUUGGGAGUAUGCAUGUCAUGUUUUGGGAAUACUUCGAAAAGAAAAAAAAUAUACGCAUGGUUAUAAAUCCCUUUGGAAAACAUUGCAUAUUUACUUUAUCAGGUUGUUACCGUAACCCCUGAAAUUUGAGGCGUUACAGAACAUGGCAUGCCAACUGACUUGUACCAAGCCAGUUUGAGUACCAUAAAAUGACGCCCAAGCCCCCAACUUCGAACCAAACCCAUGGGCCACUACAUACUAUCCUUCAAAAUACCUGUCCAUACAUAUGAUGUCCCCAAUCUCCUUUGUUCUAUUAGAACUAAUUCAGAGCGGAGAUGUUUAUGAGAUAGUACUUGAACCCAUAGCUUAUCCUUCUCAUUCAGCAUGUUGUGGACUAAUUUCCCCAACAAUGCUACAUUAUUUAUUCUAGCACUCCUAAUGCCUAACCCUCGUUUGGAUUUGGAUUGGGUCAAAUCUUUCCAAGCAACAAGGUGCCAACUUCGAGCAUUGCCCCUUUUCCCCACACACAAAUGCGAACUAGCUUGUCCACAUGCUCACACACCGAGUCGGGUAUCCAAAGAGAUUGCAUGGCAUGCACCGGCAAAGAGGUGAGGAAGGACUUCGCUAGGAACACCCGCCCUGCCGAAUUAAGAAGAUUGUUUUUCCAAGAUGCAAGCCUUGUGUUCACCUUUUCAAUGAGAGGAGCAAAGUGUUCUUUUGUUACUCUACCCUUCGACAAUGGGAGACAAAGAUACUUCCCAAGAUUGUUAGUUCUAGAGAUACCCGCAAUAAUAAACAGCUCCCACUACUUCCUUUGAUCAACUGUUCAAUGGUAUUGAUAAGUAAGUUGCACCCUAAGUUGUCUGGAAGAUGCUCGACUAACAUAGGCAUAGCAUGAUAGCACACUGAGUGGGGUACUUGUAGGUGUGAAAUAGAAUGGGUUGGGCAGUGACUUCGUAUAAUGAGGUUUGACCUGGUAAAAAAAUUGUGAGGUAUAAGCCUAACAUGUUACAUGUUAUAUGCUUUUAUUUUUCAGGCCUGACCUGGCCAAUAAUUUGAAGCCUGGUAUGACCAAUAAGUGUCAAGAGAAGCAUUAAGGAAAUCGAUCACCUCCACAUAAUCACUCUAGGGACUUCAAGGCUCAUGACCAUCUCAACUGCGGUAAGGACCGCAUAAAGCUCCACCAAAACAACGUUUGCAGAGAACUCUCCUAUCCAAGAUUUGCAAACCCUUGACUUUGGAGGGGCAGGUGGACAAGGGUAAUUACAUGUGCAUACGUUGUUUAAACAAAAUCCGUCUGCAGUUUUUCCAUAGCGAGCAUUGCAGAAGUUCUUUGGAUCACAAUAUGGUGCAGUCACAUCAUCACAUACAAAAAAAUCAGUACAUCGACCAGGUCCCAGAUUAUUACCCUCCACCAAUGUCAAUGGCACUAUAUUGUCAAUAGUUUUUUUAAAAAACAGAAGAAGAAGAUGAAUGAUUAGUGAGGUCUCAUAUCAUUUGUACUUCAACUCAUAUGACAUUAUUAAGUAAGAGAUUUACCUGUGGUCACCAAUAGGAAGACAAAGACAUGAAAUGACUUCAAGAUGCAAUUUGCCAUCACCUAAAUCUUCUAUGAGUUUAUCACUCUUUUUUGAAU